ensembl:lncRNA
ACCUUAAACAGGACACACCUCUGAUCAAGCAUCAAUUCUUUCUUCUCUAUUGAUUGAGGUUGAAAUAAAUGCCCUUUCACCUGUUCAGAGGGUUCUCACAACCUCAAAAUGAGGUUGUUGGGAAGGAGCAAAUUAGCCAAAGCGGCAGUGGUUAGGCUCUCUCGCCCCAUGCCCUCUCGCUCUCCCCCCAUGUCUUGUAAGUAAUGAUUUUGUAGCAGCUGAGCUCACUUAUAGCACCGCACAUACACCUCACGAGCUACGUGCUUGGCCAUGGGCUACUUCUGUUCUGUGAGCAUACGUAAGCUCCACCUGGAAAGCCCUUGAGGGCAUGUUGGGCUGUGUGGUGUUAUGUUAUGUCUGCUGCUGCCAUGUGGGAACCAAAAAAGGUUGAGUCUGCUUCUUGGGUGCACUUUGAUAAUUUAAAAGGUCUGGAUAUGUCCCAGGGCCAGAGUCUGCCCACCCAUGCCUUAUGCCACAGCCUCCUUCCUCCAGGAGCACGCCUGUUUCUCUGUGUGUGAGGAGGUGUCUGCUGUAGUAAGGGGUGUUGCUGCUGCUGGGAUGGGAGGAGUUCUCCAAGGCAGCCGAGGAAAAUCUCUUUCUCCGUUCUUCACUGCAGCCCUUCUCACCAAAUGCCUGCCUCUUUCCUCUUCUUUUGAGUUUCUGUAUAGCCCACAAGCAUCACCUCCCCUAAAUGUCAUUUUGAUCAUGUCACUUGUUGCCAAGAGUUCCAAAUGUUUGUUCAAGAAAAUUAAAUUUCCAUCCCAGAUCUCAAACCCACCAGAUGACUCCCUGCUUUCCUCCUACUCCUCUUUUCUAGCCCCGCCCCCGAACUCUGACCCCGCCCCCACUCCCUGGUCCCAGCCCUGCCCAGUCCCUUCUCUGCUCUCCAGAUGGUGAUGCUAACCCUUCUCUCCCCUGCAUGCGUGCGUGCUCAGUCCCUUUAGCCAUGUCCAACUUUUUGUGACCCGAUAGACUGUCCAUGGAAUUCUCCAGGGAAGAAUACUAGAGUGGGAAGCCAUUCUCUUCUCCAGGGGAUCUUCCCGACCAGGGAUCGAACCCACAUCUUUCAUGAGUCUUGCACUGGCAGGCAGGUUCUUUACUUGCCCUCUUUCUAGAAUCUUCUUUUGAAUCUUUGCUUGGAAC